AAUGCCGCUGUAGCGACAAUAUCUACAGAAAUCUAUUUAUGGCAAAGAAAUACCUCUACUAAAAAUUACCAGAUUUAUAUCUGGCUAAGGAUUGUCACUUCAGCAACAUUUCCUAAAGCUGUGGGAAAUUUUCAUCCAAAAGCCAACUACUUUUGAUGAAGCUACCUCGAAAGAGUUAUAACAUGUAUCCUCUUACAAGUGCAUUCUUAAAUUGAUUUUGAUCGGAAUUAAAGUUGCAAAUGGGCAUUUAACUACUUAAGAUUACAUGAUAAAUCUGGCCGAAAAGAGCGAUCCUUAAUCACAUUUUAAGCCAAGAUAGCUAGACACUUGGUUGCCAUUUUUCAUUGUAGGAGCAGCUGUAAUUCCACAAUCCAGUUCGACUCAAUUUAACUCAACUUUUCGUUGGAAAAAAUGUUCCUACAGGAAGCAUUUGAGUAUCGCGCAUAGGCAAAAAUAAAUGUAUAAUAUUGUUAUGGACUAUUUAUUAGGCGUUGCAAUCAGAUUAUUAAAAAAUGCGACAACUGAGAGUAAGAUACACAAAAAUAUUCAGGCCAUGAACGACCGAGUAUAAUCCCAUCUAGACAGCUCAUAUUUCAGUUGUUGUUGUGGCACUCGACUUAACCUUGCCUAAUUCAGUAAAUUCACUAAAAGUGUCGUCGUUGUCUAACAGCAGGCACAGGAACCAGUAGGUUUCGACGAUGUUUGACCAUAGGAAGAGGUGUGUUGGAUGAGCUGGUUUAAGUGGGGGCUUAUGAAGAGGUGGUUAUAUUGCGCAUCCCCUGGUAGUCCUACAGAUCUCAAGCUUCACCCAAUGCGUCCUACUGGCCCUCGGCUACAACAGAGUCCCAGCUUAAUUUAGAACGGGUCGACCAAUCGAGUUUUAUUUUGCCAACAACAUGCCUUUGUAUAUACCCAAAGGGUUGCCGGCAAGCGAGUUGACGAAUUUAUUGCCGCUUUGUACUUUAUCACACAAGACAGUCGGUUAUAUGCAUUCAUUUACUCAUUUUUUCCCCAACCUUGUCCAGCGAUCUAACUCUGUUUAGAUCUGCGAAUCCCAUAUUUUAUUUUUUUCUUUCAUAAAGUAUAUCACUUCGUUAGCUAUAACUCAAAGAAAAUUAUAGAAAUAUUUUCGAGUGACUUUGC